rnacentral:tRNA from 1 species
UAAGUGUAAAAAAGACUUCUAAUCUUUAAAUGGUGUAAACCACACUUGAUU